rnacentral:lncRNA from 1 species
UGAUAUUCAAAUUGCUUCUUUUCUAGCUGAUUUAAUGCGCUUCGUUCUAGCUGCAAAUCUCCUCGGCUUCCCUGCCAUAUCAGUCCCGGUAAGACAUUUUUUUUAUCAGUCUCUAACCAAGGCUUAGACAAUCAUGUUACUUAUUUCAUUCUUGCAAUAUAAUCGUAUCUUCUUUCUGAUUAAUCACUCUCUUUUUCUAACUUAUUGGCAAACAAAAAUCAACGCAGGUUGGUUAUGAUAAAGAGGGGCUUCCUAUAGGAUUACAAAUAAUGGGAAGACCUUGGGCCGAAGCUACCGUCCUUGGUUUAGCUGCCGCAGUCGAGGUACUCUCUCUUUUUCUCUCUCUGAUACGUUUUCAAAAGAUCAAGUAGAAACUAGUGCGGUAAGAGGCGGUAAAUAGUAAGAGCGGACUCUGUAACUUGAAUCGAUUUUGGUAUUUCAGGAACUGGCUCCAGUUACCAAGAAACCUGCAAUCUUUUAUGAUAUUCUCAAUACAAACUGAAUUCAUAAGGAUCUUCCACAGAACUGAAAAGGCAAGGAUUGUCUCUGGCUGCGGAAUAUUAUUUAUGUUUACAUUAUAUAAGGUUAAUAUGUCAAUUGAUCUACAAAUCGACGAUUAUUGUGCUAUAAACCGUGUUGGAAUUUCUUACGUCGACUAUGAUUAAUUUUAAAAGAUGUGAAUUAGUCUUGAGCAUACUUGUAAACUUUUAAAAUGCAUUUUGAAAAAAAGUUUAGAAACCUGAAUGCUAAGUAAAUCUACAUAACAAUGCAAAAACGAGUUGAAUUUGUGGAAUCACUAAUGACAAAUGCUAGAUCCAAAAUCCGGUUAGUUUCACAUCGUCUUGCAAAUUUAUUUAUCCAAAUUUCUAUUAUUUAAAAAGCUUUAAAACAUUGUUUUAAAUUCCAUAGAAAAAAAUAAAAAUCUUAUAUAAAAUCAUUAGAAGCUUGAAUGUUAAAUCUACAUAACGAUGCGAAAACAAGUUGAAUUUGUGGAAUCGCUAACGACAAAUGCUGGAUCCAAAAUCCGGUUAGUUUCACAUCGUCUUGUAAAUUUAUUAUCCAAAUUUCUAUUAUUUAAAAAACUUUUAAAAAAUUGUUUUAUUGAAAAACCUUCAAAGUUUUAAUAGUAAUAUAAAAAUAUAAGUUUAAAAAUAUUAUUUAAUAAAUGAAAAAUAAGUGUUAAAAAUCUAAAUUAAGUGUAAACCAUAUUGAAUCUAGAGUACCUCUUAGGGGUUUGGAUGAUGUAUCCAAUUAGUUUACACAAAACAGAAAAAUUUAACAAUUAAUAAAAAACCUUAAAAUUUUAACUAUAAUAUAAAAUAUACAUUUAAAAACAUUUUUUAAUAAGAAACAAGUCGAAAACUAAAAUUUUAUUAUAGAAAAGUUUAAAAAUCUGUAAGAAGUUUUACUAAAAUCCGUAAACUUUAAAACUUUAGCGAAUAAGAAGUUUUAGUUUUAUCAUUAAAAGAAAAUUAAAGAGAAGGGAUGAAAUUGACCUUGGUUUUAUGGGCCGAAAUUGUUUCUUGUUUGGGCUUUGCACAAAGAUCUCUAGUUUUGACAACCGUCAACGGCUAACUAAUCCCGAUCUAUCCACCUUCUCAAGCUUGCUUCUCUUUGAUCAUCUCCGUCGACGAUGUAGCCCCCACCGCGUCAGAAUUCUCCGUAGAAGAGAGAUCGCACACACAUACAUAUGAUCUCGCUUCUAGUUAUUGUAAACAAAGGGCUCAUCUUCCAUCACGCUCUCGUUUCUUGUUGGCGAAAAGCAACGGCAACAAAUCAAAAGAUAUAAAAUAGAAGAAGUAAAGGAAGCAGGAAUCGAAGAAGAUCAUGCUAUAAAAUCAGACUUUGUAUUUGCAAUUCUCGCUCUAUAACUCUGUCUUUCUCUGAUUUGUGAAUUGUGAUGAUGAGACUAUAUUUUGUAGACCCAUCUUCUGUGUAAUUUCCUUUCUUUCAACUCAAGUUUCCUUUUCUCUUGUUACUCUUCUGUUGUUUCCUUUUUUACCCUUUCGUUUGGAAAAUUCCGGAGUAAAAGGUUCGGUGAAUAAGGACG